UUUAUGGAGAGUUUGAUCCUGGCUCAGGAUGAACGCUGGCGGCGUGCCUAAUACAUGCAAGUCGAGCGAACGGACGAGAAGCUUGCUUCUCUGAUGUUAGCGGCGGACGGGUGAGUAACACGUGGAUAACCUACCUAUAAGACUGGGAUAACUUCGGGAAACCGUAGCUAAUACCGGAUAAUAUUUUGAACCGCAUGGUUCAAAAGUGAAAGACGGUCUUGCUGUCACUUAUAGAUGGAUCCGCGCUGCAUUAGCUAGUUGGUAAGGUAACGGCUUACCAAGGCAACGAUGCAUAGCCGACCUGAGAGGGUGAUCGGCCACACUGGAACUGAGACACGGUCCAGACUCCUACGGGAGGCAGCAGUAGGGAAUCUUCCGCAAUGGGCGAAAGCCUGACGGAGCAACGCCGCGUGAGUGAUGAAGGUCUUCGGAUCGUAAAACUCUGUUAUUAGGGAAGAACAUAUGUGUAAGUAACUGUGCACAUCUUGACGGUACCUAAUCAGAAAGCCACGGCUAACUACGUGCCAGCAGCCGCGGUAAUACGUAGGUGGCAAGCGUUAUCCGGAAUUAUUGGGCGUAAAGCGCGCGUAGGCGGUUUUUUAAGUCUGAUGUGAAAGCCCACGGCUCAACCGUGGAGGGUCAUUGGAAACUGGAAAACUUGAGUGCAGAAGAGGAAAGUGGAAUUCCAUGUGUAGCGGUGAAAUGCGCAGAGAUAUGGAGGAACACCAGUGGCGAAGGCGACUUUCUGGUCUGUAACUGACGCUGAUGUGCGAAAGCGUGGGGAUCAAACAGGAUUAGAUACCCUGGUAGUCCACGCCGUAAACGAUGAGUGCUAAGUGUUAGGGGGUUUCCGCCCCUUAGUGCUGCAGCUAACGC
rnacentral:rRNA from 1 species